UUAAAAACAUGCAUUUGGUUAUAAAUAUAUAUAAAACCCAUUUCAUUACCUUAUCUAUUCGGCUAACACAACUCAUUUGUACAUAUUCGUAAACUUACAAAUAACUAACAAAACUAUAUAGUUAUACACAUAUACAUGUCCACCAUAAUAUAAACGCAUAUAUAUACAUGUAAAGACAUAUAAGAGCUCAACUAUGAUAUCAUGACUAAAUACCAAAACAUAC
rnacentral:lncRNA from 1 species